CUACGGGUCGCUGCAGUCGAGGAUAAUGGACAAUGGGGGAAACCCUGAUCCUGCGACGUCGCGUGCUCGAUUAAGUCCUUCGGGAUGUAAAGAGCUUUUAUUAGGGAACAACCUUCGGGAGAGCGUACCUAAUGAAUAAGAGGAUGCAAAUCACGUGCCAGCAGCCGCGGUAAUACGUGAUCCUCAAGCGUUAUCCGGAUUUAUUGGGCGUAAAGAGUCUGUAGGCGGACUGGAAAGUCCUUGGUUAAAUACCCAGAGCUUAACUUUGGGGAUGCCAGGGAAACUGCCAGACUAGAGGGCACUAGAGGCUGAUAGAACGGUUGGUGUAGGGGUGAAAUCCGUUGAUAUCAACCGGAAUACUAAAAGCGAAGGCAUUCAGCUGGGGUGACCCUGACGCUGAGAGACGAAAGCGUGGGUAGCAAAAAGGAUUAGAUACCCCAGUAGUC
rnacentral:rRNA from 1 species